rnacentral:lncRNA from 1 species
CGGACCCGGAAAGAGGCUUUGAGAGAGUGGGAAGGGAGCUAGCUCAUGAGCUGGGGUAUCCCUGGGUUGAAUACUGGGAAUUUCUGGGCUGUUUUGUUGAUCUGUCUUCCCAGGAAGGCCUGCAAAGACUAGAAGAAUAUCUCACACAGCAGGAAAUAGGCAAAAAGGCUCAACAAGAAACAGGAGAACGGGAAGCCUCCUGCCGAGAUAAAGCCACCACGUCUGAGAGGAGCCAUCAAAACUCGAUCAGGAUGUUUUGGCCGCUCUUGAAUGUGCAGACGUCGACCCCCAUCAGUUCCCGGCCGUGCACAGAUGGAAGAGUGCUGUCCUGUGCUACUCACCCUCGGACAGACAGAGUUGGCCCAGUCCCGCGGUGAAAGGAAGGUUCAAGUCUCAGCUGCCAGAUCUCAGUGGCCCUCACAGCUACAGUCCGGGGAGAAACAGCGUGGCUGGAAGCAACCCCGCAAAGCCAGGCCUGGGCAGUCCUGGGCGCUACAGCCCCGUGCACGGGAGCC